AAUCUUUUCUCUCCAACAGGGCAAUGUUGGUUCUCCUGGAAAAACUGGCCUGAUGGGAAAUUCGGGCAAACCUGGAGAACCAGGAUUGCAAGGAGAACCAGGAUCGCUGGGACCCAAAGGCCCAUCAGGUAGCAGAGGUGAGCCAGGUCCUGCUGGUCCUCCAGGAUCACCAGGUAAAACGG